rnacentral:rRNA from 1 species
GCCUACGGGAGGCAGCAGUAGGGAAUCUUCCACAAUGGGCGAAAGCCUGAUGGAGCAACGCCGCGUGGGUGAAGAAGGUCUUCGGAUCGUAAAACCCUGUUGUUAGAGAAGAAAGUGCGUGAGAGUAACUGUUCACGUUUCUACGGUAUCUAACCAGAAAUCCACGGCUAACUACGUUCCAGCAGCCGCGGUAAUACGUAGGUGGCAAGCGUUAUCCGGAUUUAUUGGGCGUAAAGGGAACGCAGGCGGUCUUUUAAGUCUGAUGUGACAGCCUUCGGCUUAACCGGAGUAGUUCCUU